rnacentral:rRNA from 1 species
UACGUAGGGUGCGAGCGUUAAUCGGAAUUACUGGGCGUAAAGCGUGCGUAGACGGUAGCGUAAGUCGGGUGUGAAAGCCCCGGGCUCAACCUGGGAACAGCAUUCGAGACUGCUCUGCUAGGGUGCGGAAGAGGGAAGCGGAAUUUCCGGUGUAGCGGUGAAAUGCGUAGAUAUCGGAAGGAACAUCAGUGGCGAAAGCGGCUUCCUGGUCCAGCACCGACGUUCAGGCACGAAAGCGUGGGGAGCAAACAGG